AACUUAGUUGUACUGUAUCAAUUACUCUUUCCUACUGGUUACUCGACUCUGUUCUUUAUUGCAUGGAGUAGUGUCGCAAGGCAUCGCUUAGUAUUUUAUUGCUUUUAGAUGUAGUAAUUGGGUAAAACUGGUUAUGAAACCUAAGGGAUCACAGUAAAGUAUUAAGUGGGGUUCCAGUUCAUUUACUUUGAGUAAAUUAGAGUGUUCAAAGCAGCCUGUAUGGGCAUUGAAUAGAUUAGCAUGGGAUAAUAGAAUAGGAUUCUUAUCUAUUUUAUUGGUUUAUAGAUUUAGAAUAAUGAUUAAUAGGGAUAGUUGGGGGCACUUGUAUUCAAUAGUCAGAGGUGAAAUUCUAGGAUUUAUUGAAGACAAAACUUCAGCGAAAGUAUUUGCCAAGGAUGUUUUCAUUAAUCAAGAACGAAAGUUAGGGGAUCGAAGACGAUUAGACACCGUCGUAGUCUUAACUAUAAACUAUGCCGACCAGGGGAUAUGAGAGUUA
rnacentral:rRNA from 1 species